rnacentral:rRNA from 1 species
UGCAGCCCAAGUGGUGACCAUUAUUAUUGAGCCUAAAGCGUCCGUAGCCGGUUUGGUAAAUCCUCGGGUAAAUCGAGCAGCUUAACUGUUCGAACACCGGGGAGACUGCCAGACUUGGGACCGGGAGAGGUCAGAGGUACUUCAGGGGUAGGGGCUAAAUCCUGUAAUCCUUGAAGGACCACCAGUGGCGAAGGCGUCUGACUAGAACGGAUCCGACGGUAAGGGACGAAACCCUGGGGCGCAAACC